rnacentral:rRNA from 1 species
AUGACGCUGCAGCUACACCGCAGUCUUUACGGUAGCACAGAGAGCUUGCUCUCGUGGUGAUUGAGUGGCUGGACGGGUGAGUAAUGUCUGGGAAACUGCCUGAUGUGAGUGGGGAUAACUACUGGAAACGGUAGCUAAUACCGCAUAACGUCGCAAGACCAAAGAGGGGGACCCUUCGGGCCCCUCUUGCCAUCAGAUGUGCCCAGAUGGGAUUAGCUAGUAGUGCGGGUGUAAUUGUGCCCACCUAUGCGACGAUCCCUAGCUGGUCUGAGAGGAUGACCAGCACACUGGAACUGAAGACACGUGUCCAGGACUCCUACGGGAGCAGCAAGUGGGGAAUAUUUGCACAAAUGGGCGCAAGCCUGAAUGCAGCAAUGCCGCGUGUGUGAAGAAGGGCUUACGGGUUGUAAAGCACUUUCAGCGGGGAGGAAGGCGGUACGGUUAAUAACCGUGCUGAUUGACGUUACCCUGCGAGAAGAAGCACCGGCUAAGCUCCGUGCCAGCGAGCCGCGGUAAGUACGGAGGGGUGCAGAGCGUCAGGUCGGUAAUGACGUGGGCGUAGAAACGCACAGCCGGG